rnacentral:lncRNA from 1 species
AAACACAGACAGGGAAAGAGGUGGAAAGGGAGACAGACAUUCCCUCUGCCGGUUCACUCGCCAAAAUGUCUGCAACAGUCGGGAGUAGGUCAGGCCGAAGCCAGCAGCCUUGAGCGCAAUCCAGAUCUCCCACGCAGGCGGCACAGACCCCAACCCUGGGGCCAUCAGCGCUGCCUCCCAAGGGUGGGGGUAGCAGCAGCCGGAAGCCCGCCCAGAGCCGGCGGCGCAGGCCAGUGGCGUCAUCAGGCCGCGCGGACCAGCUGCGGCGCUGAGGCGCUGAGCCGGAAGUCGCGGAGGCGGCGUCGCGGAGGCGGGGAAAGUGAGCUGUCGCGGGCUCUUAAGCUCCGUGUCGGGCUCUGGUGGCCUCGCCUGGACCCCACGCGCGCUGUGUGCCCCAGGUCUCUUGUGCGGGGCUUGCUCCCGGAAGCUCUUUAUGGGCAAAAUCGAGAAGACUCAGUGUAUCCACUCCUUUCUCUUCACCCCCUGAAUGAUCGCCUCAAACCAUGGUGCAGCGUCACUGGCAUCGCGAUGCUACAUAAAAUGUUCUGUUGCUCAUGUCAGCGGUGCUGUGAUGGAGCUGUAAAGCCACGGCUCACGGGGCCUGCGUCCCAUACCAGUGUCUGUUCAUGUCCCAGCUGCUCCACUUUUUUUUUUUUUUUAAAAAAAGGAUUUAUUUAUUUAUUCGAAGGCAGAUGGAGAAGAACAGAGAGAGGGAGACAGAGGAGGUCCCCGUGUUAGCACCACAAACUGUGCACAGCAGGAGCCACAGCAAACAUGACUGACCUGGGCCAUCCCACAGGCCACCAGUGUGCAACCUGGUGGGGAGUCCUUUUCCUACAGAGGCUGCAGGGGGGCCCCUGCAGGACCUGGAGUCCCGGAUCUCAGAGGAGACCUCAGCACAGCCUCUGUCUGCUUGGGGACUCCCCUAUGGUCUGGUCCACUGCUGGGAGCUUCGCAGCCAUAACCUCACUCACUCUGGCCCCAGCCUGGGAGGCAGGAUGACCACCACCAUUUCCCAGCGUGGGGGGUGUGUCAGGUCCAUACGGGAUCAAUAUGGGACACCCAGGGAGGCAGCAGUCCCGGCCUGAGGUGCAGCCCAUAGGCCAGGAAAGGGAAGAUGGCCACGAGCGACCACUGGGUAUUCCCUGUGGGAAGAACAGGAGGGGGCACAGGGAGUGUCAGGUGCUCCUGGCCUGGCUGCUCCUGGGUUCCCCUGAGGACAGAGAAGUGGAGAGAGAGCCCCAAAUUCAGCUCAGUGCCUCCCCCAGGGGAGGGACAGAGAGGCACAGAGCAGGGGCCAAGAAGGUCAGCUCAGCAGUGCCUGCUACCUCCUGGGCCUGCACUCAGCACUGCCCAACAGCACCUCUCCAGGGACCCAGCAGGGGGCG